GACGAACGCUGGCGGCGUGCCUAAUACAUGCAAGUAGGACGCAGUUGCGAACGGGUGAGUAACGCGUAGGUAACUACCUAGUAGAGGGGGAAAACUAUUGGAAACGAUAGCUAAUACCGCAUACUAGUAGAUGGACCUGCGUUGUAUUAGCUAGUAGGUAGGGUAAUGGCCUACCUAGGCAACGAUACAUAGCCGAACCGUGAGGGUGAUCAGCCACACUUGGACUGAGACACGGCCCAGACGCCUACGGGAGGCAGCAUGAGGGAGUCUUCGGCCAUGGGGGGAACCUUGACCGAGCAACGCCGCGUGAGUUAAGAAGGGUUUCGGAUCGUAAAGCUCUGUUGUUAAGGAAGCGGUACUUAACCAGAAAGGGACGGCUAACUACGUGCCAGCAGCCGCGGUAAUAC
rnacentral:rRNA from 1 species